AGUGAACGCUGGCGGUAGGCCUAACACAUGCAAGUCGAACGGCAGCACAGUAAGAGCUUGCUCUUACGGGUGGCGAGUGGCGGACGGGUGAGGAAUACAUCGGACUCUACUUUUUCGUGGGGGAUAACGUAGGGAAACUUACGCUAAUACCGCAUACGACCUACGGGUGAAAGCAGGGGAUCUUCUGACCUUGCGCGAUUGAAUGAGCCGAUGUCGGAUUAGCUAGUUGGCGGGGUAAAGGCCCACCAAGGCGGCGAUCCGAUGCUGGUCUGAGAGGAGGGUCAGCCACACUGGAGCUUAGACACGGUCCAGGCUCCUGCGGGAGGAAGCAGUGGGGAAUAUUAGACAAUGGGCGCAAGCCUGAUCCAGCCAUACCGCGUGGGUGGAGAAGACCUUCGGGUUGUAAAGCCCGUUUGUUGGGAAAAAAAAGCAGCAGGUUAAUACCCCGCUGUUCUGACGGUACCCAAAGAAUAAGCACCGGCUAACUUCGUG
rnacentral:rRNA from 1 species